rnacentral:tRNA from 1 species
GUCAACACGGCCGAGUUGGUCUAAGGCGCUAUUUUCAGGUACUGGUCCGAAAGGGCAUGGGUUCGAAUCCCAUUCUUGACA